UGGGGUGUCGCCAAGUGGUAAGGCAGCGGUUUUUGGUACCGCCAUUUCGGAGGUUCGAGUCCUUCCACCCCAG
rnacentral:tRNA from 3 species